CUCCGAAGCGGGAAGGAUGAGAAGCUUCGACCAAGGUUCGAUUCGAGCGAAGCGAGAAAGCGUUGCCGCAGGCAACGACCCGAAGGGCGAUGCGCAACGCGCCGAGUAAUCCUUCCCCCACCACCA
rnacentral:sRNA from 1 species